rnacentral:misc_RNA from 1 species
UCUCUCUCUCUAUCUCUCUCUCUAAGUAACAGGACAUCAGCAAGAAAUUAACCUCGCCGGCGGCCAUGGGGCUGUGUGGGUUGUUCAAUAGGAAGACGAGCAAUGAUCGACGCUCUACUAAAGGUAUAUUAGAAAAUGAAUCGACAUAGACUUACAAUCUCCAUUAACAAUUUGACGCUUCUUUUAAGAUGUUUAGUGGUUUUAUGUUUCCCAUCAACGAAUCGUUUCUUGAAAGUAUUUUCUUGCAGAUCAGCAACAGGUGGUGCAGCCCGGUGCAGUUCAAGGUUUAUAUCUUCUUUGACCUUGAACAUCUUCUUUCUCUAAUGGAAUUUUAGCUCUGGGUUUUUAUGAAAAAGUGUUAUAAUUGAUCUAGACCGCAUAGAUCUGCUAAAUUCAUUUUGAUUCCCUGUUUAGAAGGCCGGCCUCAGCAAACCCCUUCAGCUCAGACUACUGCUCCUUCAUCUACAAAAGAGCAAUCGGAGCUUAAGCCUCUUGGCGAUGGACAAACUCCACUUCCGUUCCUUGAAAAUCUUCCAAAGUUUUAUACUUACGAACAGCUGGCAAAGGCAACUGGGGAUUUCACCAACAACAACCUAAUUGGUGUGGGUGGUUCUGGUCAAGUUUUUCGGGGAGAACUUCCAGAUGGUAAAGUGGUUGCCAUUAAGAAGCUUAAGUAUACUGCUGGACAGGCGGAAUUGGAAGGGGCGCAAGCUCAAUUCGAGACUGAGAUUAAAACCAAUAGCAGCAUCCGUCACCGGAAUCUUGUAGAGGUGAUAGGGUAUUGCAGUGAUAAAGCUGAUCAAUUGUUUGUUUGUGAGUUUGUUCCCAACAAAUCAUUGAGAUAUCAUUUGCAUGGUCAGUCCUUUCCCUAGUUUAAUUUACUUCCAAAUAUAGCAUGCGUGAUUAUUACUAAUACAGAGAUGAGGUUAGGAUUGUUGAAACUCUGAAAUCGAUCUUUAAUUUCCCCUUUACAACUUUCUUGAUCUAUAAAACAAAAGGAGUAUACUGAAUGAUAGAUGGAAAAUAACAUUGCAGGAAAGGAAGAUAAGAUAAUCAAUUGGCCAAACAGAAUGAAAAUCGCUGUAGGGUCUGCUAAAGGAUUGGCAUAUUUACAUGAAGGAUGUCCAAAAACAAUAAUCCACCGAGAUAUCAAGAGCGAAAACAUUCUUCUAGAUCAUAACUUUGAACCAAAGAUUGCAGAU